rnacentral:misc_RNA from 1 species
UCCAAGAAACUAAUGAUUUUGGGUAUUUCGCCACUGGACUCGAUCUCAUCUACCAGCGGUGACUUGAUUAACUUGAUGAGCGUACAGAGUACUUCCAUUGAUUUCCAGGAAGCCAUUGACACAAGAGCAUGAAUCAAAGGACCCAUUAGCAUUUGACCCACGAAAACAUCUUUAUUGAAUCGAAUCAAAGCUGCAACAACAAAAGCGCACUGUUCUCGAAUCCUCUUCGAGCAAUUGGGAUCGCAGAUUAUUUUUUCAAGCAACAAAAGAAUCUUAGAUUUAAGAAUCAAAUCUUGUAACUCGCGAUUAAACCCUUGCGAGAGCCUAUUCUCAAACUGAGUUAACAAACUCACCAACUCGUCUUCGUUCUUUACAGUCCCUUUCAACAAAGUCGUCAAAUUCUCGAUGCUUUCACGAUCGAUCCAGGCUUGAAUCUCA